GGGCAAGAGUGGACCUGCUUCUAGAGGGCCGGUCUGUAGGGUGAUGUGGUGGUGAAGAUCUUGCAGAGUCACCCCUCACAGCAGGUCCAUGUCCACCAGUUGUGGAGGAGGCCACCAAGCUCGGAAUUGCUCCUCCGCUUGCUGCGUGGUUGUCCAUGUGCUCAGACACACGAGCUUUUCUAGACACAUCAUUUAUUCUGCUGCGGGUCGGACACUGAACGUCCAGUAUGUUCCACUGAACUCAAAGCGCGGAGUUGCAAGACUCCACCCUCUAAAUCAGGAGCUCCGGAGACCCAGUCCCGAGUUUCUCGUGGCCUCUGUGCACGGCGGUUUUGGCUGAACAAACAUAUCAUUCUUCCCCAGGGCGGUGAGCCAGUAGACUCUUCAAAGCAAAAAUGUGCUGGAGAAAUUAAUCAUUCUGCACCUCCAAAGUGAAAUUUAUGGUGGCUCCGAAACUGUGAGAAAUGAACUGAAGGCUAAAUGUUUGAAUCAAAAAUAAAACCGGGACUUCAAUGACUUUAUCAUCACAGUAUCUGUGACGGUAAAAAUAAAUGGCAGAGCUGUCUAAUUUUCUUCAUUUAAAGUUAAAAUAAUAUGUUUAUCUUAAGCGUCUCAAUGGCCU